rnacentral:rRNA from 1 species
GAGUGAAGAGGAAAGAGCUCAAAGUUGGAACCUGUUUGGCUUAGCUAAACCGGAUUGUAAACUGUAGAAACGUUUUCCUGGCACGCCAGAUAAAUAAGUCCUUUGGAACAGGGCAUCAUAGAGGGUGAGAAUCCCGUCUUUGGUCUGAGCUGUUGUCUUUUGUGAUACGUUUUCAAAGAGUCAGGUUGUUUGGGAAUGCAGCCUAAAUUGGGUGGUAAAUCUCACCUAAAGCUAAAUAUUUGCGAGAGACCGAUAGCGAACAAGUACCGUGAGGGAAAGAUGAAAAGAACUUUGAAAAGAGAGUUAAACAGUAUGUGAAAUUGUUAAAAGGGAACCGUUUGGAGCCAGACUGGCUUGAUCGUAAUCAAUCUAGGUUUCGACCUGGAUGCACUUGCGGUCUAUGCCUGCCAACGACAGUUCUUUCUGAAGGAUAAAACUAGGAGGAAUGUGGCCCCUCGGGGUGUUAUAGCCUCUUAGAUAAUACUUUGGAUGGGACUGAGGAACGCAGUGAAUGCUUAUGGCGAAAUUGCUAGGCGCUUUUGUUGAUAGAUGUUAGAAUUUCUACUUCGGGUAGUGCUGAUGUCUAAAGGUAAAACUCGUUUGGUUAAUUUUCUAUUCACUUAGGUUGU